UUCUUCAUUCUGCAAUGGGUUUUAUGACCACAUCUGUUCUACACCCCUUCAUCAUGGCAAAAAGAAACUUGAAACUGGAUGGACGAUCGGGACGGGAACACGCACACAACACGAACUCUUUCCUACGGCUGAUUGAUGAUUUUCUUCUAUAGAUAGAACUUUAAAAGGCAGCUACUAGAAGGCUAAAAACUACUGCCAGUGACGGAUUUUAAAACAAGAACACGCCUCACCAAAAAUCACGAGAAGUGAUCCCAAAGAACAGUUUGAUCUCUCACGGACAAAAACAAGAACAAGAGACCAGAACCACCGCCAUCAACUCCCUCGAUCUCGCCACUACCGCUGUACAAUUUGUGGUGGCAUGCGAUGCCAAAUCUCUUGGCCUUUGGCGCUCGGUGGGUCUCCUCACCGCAGUGGGUCGGAGCGGGUGCUGGAGAGCUCCCUGCGGAGGCGGUGCGAGAAGAGCCUGCACGCGUCCAUGCUCAGGUCCACGGCUGU
rnacentral:lncRNA from 1 species